AGAACUAGAACCACAAGGCCUGGGGAAGGGCUGGUCUGCCCUGUGCUGCAGGCCCAGCAGUGUCACUCACUGGGAUGCGCCCUGGCAGGUCCUGCCACUGUAACCGGGGCCCAGAGGUGCCAUGCUGCCCUGGACAGGAGGGCCAGGGCUGGGGGAGGGGCCGCAGGCGCCCCCCCCUCGCCCAUCCGGUGGAGGCAGGCUCACUCCUACCAGGCGGACGGGGAAGGGGCUCCAGGGAAGAGAGUGGGGAGCUGUGUCCACAGCAGGACCCGAGGGCGGUGCAGCGGAAUCCUGCGCCAGAUGCCUCUCCCGCGUGGAAGAGCCUGGAUCGGCGGCUGCCAGGGCCCCGGAGCCUCCACUUAUCUGAAACCGGCGCUGCGCCUGGGGAGCCAGUUCACACGUUCAUUCAACAAACACGGAGCGCUUGCCGGAGACCAAACCACGGCCAUGAACGCCGCCUCCCUCGCGGAGCCCACAGGAAGCAGUGCUUCUGGAAGGACUAAGGUGACUGCGCGAGAAGACGGAAACGCUAAUUACCGGAUGGUGGCGAUCAUUUCACCGAGAGUGCAUACGUCGCGACAUCACGUUGUUCGCCUCGAGUAUGUAUCACUGUCACCAACCUAAAAUCACACAUCUAGGGACAACCCUCACACGCCUGCUGUAGACAACAGGCACGCUCACUCGUAGUUCACACACACACACACACACACACACACAGCACGCAGAGAUCCUCCCUCAAUAAACAAACAUGACGGUCCUAGGAGUCACGGGCCCGUCCCAUAUACAUGCCCUAACCCUUCAGAACAAACUUCUUUCCCACCCCCCACCCCCCCAAGGGAAGGCUCAGAAGAAAUCCUUGUGGAAACGAAGCCUGGAGGCCCCGGGCCCUCGGCUGUCAACCGAACGCUCCGCCCGAAGAACUGCCCCGUUCCAGGGUCUCCCAACUCCGGCCAUCACCAAACUCCUCCCGCUGGUGCCCCCUAUUCCUUCUCGGUGCUGCCAGCUCGCUUUUCUGACCUGGGACCUGUCUGUCCCUCGAUCGACCAACCAAACACUUUCGUCUUACGAAAAGUAAGAAAGAUUCUCGUCAUAUGCUCUCGCGGCCCGCUACAGUUCUCUGCCACGGCCUUUAUCGUGGUUUGUGAUGGCGCACGCGCAUAACUACGUACAUGGCCAUUUUAUUAAUGCCUCUCCCCACUCCUAGACUGUAGCAAAGCCACGUCUACCUUGUGCCUCAAUGUGACCUCUGUGCCUAGUUCUAGAUCUUUCCUCAAACAAAACAAGAAACCUCCCCCACAGUUAGCAAGUACAUCCUCAGGCUGCCUGGCCACCAGACUAAGUCUCCAGGGGCUCCCAGGGCCAGUAGAAUUCCAGACCUUCCUUUUCUCCUCCCUCACAUUCCCUACCCUUCUAAAGAACAAAAAGCCUCAAGAACCCCCUCAAUUAGCCUCUGGAGGUGCUUCCUGUAGAUGGCAGAACCCCAGACUCAAGUCAAGGACCGGCUGGUGAGGAGACCAGCAGGAAGGACAGGAUGGAAGAGAAGGGAACGUGGGUGUGGCCAGGGCUCACUGCUUUCACCAAGUAAAGUUUCUUUUUUUUAA